rnacentral:rRNA from 1 species
UGGGGAAUCUUAGACAAUGGGGGCAACCCUGAUCUAGCCAUGCCGCGUGAGUGAUGAAGGCCUUAGGGUCGUAAAGCUCUUUCGCCUGUGAUGAUAAUGACAGUAGCAGGUAAAGAAACCCCGGCUAACUCCGUGCCAGCAGCCGCGGUAAUACGGAGGGGGUUAGCGUUGUUCGGAAUUACUGGGCGUAAAGCGCGCGUAGGCGGACUAGAAAGUUGGGGGUGAAAUCCCGGGGCUCAACCUCGGAACUGCCUCCAAAACUGCUAGUCUAGAGUUCGAGAGAGGUGAGUGGAAUUCCGAGUGUAGAGGUGAAAUUCGUAGAUAUUCGGAGGAACACCAGUGGCGAAGGC